GCUAACCAGAUCCAAUUUAGACGCCUAUAAAUACAAAGACUUCAUUAUUUCUCUCUCAUCUUUCUCGUCAACCUAUAAAAGUAUCAUCUUUUCAAAUUCCUCGCGCUCUAUUUUUCACAUACACAAACCCUAAUUCUUCUCUCCAAAAAUCAAGGGUAGAUGGCUGAUCAAGUAUUGGAAGGGAGCCAACCUGUAGAUCUAAAGAAGCAUCCUUCUGGGAUUGUGCCUACAAUUCGAAAUAUUGUUUCAACGGUCAAUUUGGACACUAAGUUGGAUCUCAAAGCAUUUGCUCUCCAAGCUCGUAACGCAGAGUACAAUCCCAAG